rnacentral:rRNA from 1 species
UGGGGAAUAUUGGACAAUGGGCGAAAGCCUGAUCCAGCCAUGCCGCGUGUGUGAAGAAGGGCUUCGGAUUGUAAAGCACUUUAAGUUGGGAGGAAGGGCAGUAAGCGAAUACCUUGCUGUUUUGACGUUACCGACAGAAUAAGCACCGGCUAACUCUGUGCCAGCAGCCGCGGUAAUACAGAGGGUGCAAGCGUUAAUCGGAAUUACUGGGCGUAAAGCGCGCGUAGGUGGUUCGUUAAGUUGAAUGUGAAAGCCCCGGGCUCAACCUGGGAACUGCAUCCAAAACUGGCGAGCUAGAGUAGGGCAGAGGGUGGUGGAAUUUCCUGUGUAGCGGUGAAAUGCGUAGAUAUAGGAAGGAACACCAGUGGCGAAGGCGACCACCUGGGCUCAUACUGACACUGAGGUGCGAAAGCGUGGGGAGCAAACAGG